rnacentral:rRNA from 1 species
GACGAACCGUGCGAACGUUAUUCGGAAUCACUGGGCUUAAAGCGCGUGUAGGCGGGAUGGUGCGUCGACUGCUGAAAUCCCCCGGCUUAACCGGGGAACGGGCAUCGAUACGGCCAUCCUGGAGGAACGUAGGGGGACCUGGAACUUCCGGUGGAGCGGUGAAAUGCGUUGAGAUCGGAAGGAACGCCCGUGGCGAAAGCGAGGUCCUGGACGUUUUCUGACGCUGAGACGCGAAAGCUAGGGGAGCGAACGGGAUUAGAUACCCCGGUAGUCCUAGCCGUAAACGAUGGGCACUGGGUAGGGGGCUCGCCGAUGGGCUCCCUGCCGUAGGGAAACCGUGAAGUGCCCCGCCUGGGGAGUAUGGUCGCAAGGCUG